rnacentral:rRNA from 1 species
AGUUGAUCCUGGCUAGGACGACGCUGGCGGCACGCCUAACACAUGCAAGUCGAACGGUGUUAUUGGAGCUUGCUCUGAUGACAUAGUGGCGGACGGGUGAGUAACACGUGAGCAACCUACCUCUCAGAGAGGGAUAGCUUCUGGAAACGGAUGGUAAUACCUCAUAACAUAGCUGGACCGCAUGAUCUGGUUACCAAAGAUUUAUCACUGAGAGAUGGGCUCGCGUCUGAUUAGGUAGUUGGUGAGGUAACGGCUCACCAAGCCGACGAUCAGUAGCCGGACUGAGAGGUUGAACGGCCACAUUGGGACUGAGACACGGCCCAGACUCCUACGGGAGGCAGCAGUGAGGGAUAUUGCACAAUGGAGGAAACUCCUGAUGCAGCGAUGCCGCGUGGAGGAAGAAGGUUUUCGGAUUGUAAACUCCUGUUUCGAGGGACGAUAAUGACGGUACCCCGGGAGGAAGCUCCGGCUAACUACGUGCCAGCCGCGGC